GAUGAAUGCUGGCGGCGUGCCUAACACAUGCAAGUCGAGCGGCAGCGCGGUCUUCGGACUGGCGGCGAGCGGCGGACGGCUGAGUAACGCGUGGGAACAUACCCCAAAGUGAGGGAUAACCGCCCGAAAGGGUGGCUAAUACCGCAUAUGAUCUUCGGAUUAAAGGAUUUAUCCGCUUUGGGAAUGGCCUGCGUACGAUUAGGUAGUUGGUGAGGUAAAGGCUUACCAAGUCUACGAUCGUUAACUGGUCUGAGAGGAUGAUCAGUCAGACUGGAACUGAGACACGGUCCAGACUCCUACGGGAGGCAGCAGUGAAGAAUCUUCCACAAUGGGCGAAAGCCUGAUGGAGCAACGCCGCGUGCAGGAUGAAGGCCUUCGGGUCGUAAACUGCUUUUAUAAGUGAAGAAUAUGACGGUAACUUAUGAAUAAGCACCGGCUAACUACGUGCCAGCAGCCGCCGUAAGA
rnacentral:rRNA from 1 species